GAAAUGCGAUAAGUAAUGUGAAUUGCAGAAUUCAGUGAAUCAUCGAAUCUUUGAACGCACAUUGCGCCCGCCAGUAUUCUGGCGGGCAUGCCUGUCCGAGCGUCAUUUCAACCAUCAAGCCCCCGGGCUUGUGUUGGGGACCUGCGGCUGCCCGCAGGCCCUGAAAACCAGUGGCGGGCUCGCUGUCACACCGAGCGUAGUAGCAAUCACCUCGCUCAGGGCGUGCUACGGGUUCCGGCCGUUAAACAGCCUUACAAAACCCAAGGUUGACCUCGGAUCAGGUAGGAAGACCCGCUGAACUUAAGC
rnacentral:misc_RNA from 1 species